GUGGGGAAUAUUGGACAAUGGGCGCAAGCCUGAUCCAGCAAUGCCGCGUGCAGGAAGAAGGCCUUCGGGUUGUAAACUGCUUUUGUACGGAACGAAACGGUCCUGGUUAAUACCUGGGGCUAAUGACGGUACCGUAAGAAUAAGCACCGGCUAACUACGUGCCAGCAGCCGCGGUAAUACGUAGGGUGCGAGCGUUAAUCGGAAUUACUGGGCGUAAAGCGUGCGCAGGCGGUGCUGUAAGACAGGCGUGAAAUCCCCGGGCUCAACCUGGGAAUUGCGCUUGUGACUGCAGGGCUGGAGUACGGCAGAGGGGGAUGGAAUUCCGCGUGUAGCAGUGAAAUGCGUAGAUAUGCGGAGGAACACCGAUGGCGAAGGCAAUCCCCUGGGCCUGCACUGACGCUCAUGCACGAAAGCGUGGGGAGCAAACAGGAUUAGAUACCCGAGUAGUCC
rnacentral:rRNA from 1 species